AGCUUACCAGCGGUGGGAUUUUACCAUUUACACCCAAUCAUGUAUUUGCCAAAGCCAGCUUGCCUGUACUACACAGUGGCAAAUUUAAUUUUCAUCAGAUGUUUCCUGCAUGGUUUGUCUCCUCAGUCAUCAUCCACAGGACUCUGAGAAGCUGUAGGAAUAUGCAGGCGCAGACGCAAGGCCCGGCUUCAUCUCCAACGUCGUGGAAAGGGACUGUACGUCACGGGGCAGAGCCCUAUGCUCCCCUACACCACCUGGACAGAGCCCGGGGAGAGUGACCUCCCGGGAGUAUCCACGUUGGAAUGAAUAAACACACCAACCUCAAACCAUU